GACGAACGCUGGCGGCGCGCCUAACACAUGCAAGUCGAGCGAUGAAAUGUUAACCGAUCUCUUCGGAGAGAAGAUAAACGGGAGUAGCGGCGGACGGGUGAGUAACACGUGAGAAACCUGCCUUUCACAAGGGGACAGCCUCGGGAAACCGGGAAUAAUACCCUAUGACACAUUUCCUUCGCAUGGAAGAAAUGUUACAACUCCGGUGGGGAAAGAUGGUCUCGCGCCUGACUCGCUGGUUGGUGGGGUAACGGCCCACCAAGGGCAUGAUCAGUAACCGGCAUGUGAGGCUGGGCGGUCACACUUGAGCUGAGACGCAGUCCGGACUACUACGGGAUGCAGCAGUGGGGGAUACUGCCCAGUGGCGGGUACUCUGAAGCAGCUCCGCCGCGUGAGCGAUGAAGGCUUUCGAGUCGUAAAUCUCUUUCAUAUGGGAAGAUAAUGACGUUACCAGAAGAGGAAGCCCCGGCUAACUACGUG
rnacentral:rRNA from 1 species